rnacentral:misc_RNA from 1 species
GAUGAAGAACGUAGCGAAAUGCGAUAAGUAAUGUGAAUUGCAGAAUUCAGUGAAUCAUCGAAUCUUUGAACGCACCUUGCGCUCCUUGGUAUUCCUCGGAGCAUGCCUGUUUGAGUAUCAUGAAACUCUCAAAGAAAAUCUUUUGUUAAUUCAAUUGGUUUGCUUUGGACUUGGAGGUUUUUUUUUGCAGAUUAAUUUCUGCUCCUCUUAAAUAUAUUAGCUGGAUCUCAGUAUAUGCUCGGUUCCACUCGGCGUGAUAAGUAUCACUCGCUGAGGACACUGGUAAAAAAGGUGGCCGGGAAAUACAGAUGAACCGCUUCAAACAGUCCAUUCACUUGGACAAUAUAAAGUUUUAAGAUCUGAUCUCAAAUCAGGUAGGACUACCCGCUGAACUUAAGCAUAUCAUAAGCGGAGGA